rnacentral:rRNA from 1 species
AACGAACGCUGGCGGCAGGCUUAACACAUGCAAGUCGAACGCUCCUAGCAAUAGGGGAGUGGCAGACGGGUGAGUAACGCGUGGGAAUCUACCCAGCCCUUCGGAAUAGCUCCGGGAAACUGGAAUUAAUACCGAGUACGCCCUACGGGGGAAAGAUUUAUCGGGGUUGGAUGAGCCCGCGUUGGAUUAGCUAGUUGGUGAGGUAACGGCCCACCAAGGCGACGAUCCAUAGCUGGUCUGAGAGGAUGAUCAGCCACACUGGGACUGAGA